rnacentral:rRNA from 1 species
AGAGUUUGAUUCCUGGCUCAGAUUGAACGCUGGCGGCAGGCCUAACACAUGCAAGUCGAGCGGGGUUUUCGGACCUAGCGGCGGACGGGUGAGUAAUGCGUAGGAAGCUACCCGAUAGAGGGGGAUACCAGUUGGAAACGACUGUUAAUACCGCAUAAUGUCUACGGACCAAAGUGUGGGACCUUCGGGCCACAUGCUAUCGGAUGCGCCUACGUGGGAUUAGCUAGUUGGUGAGGUAAUGGCUCACCAAGGCGACGAUCUCUAGCUGGUUUGAGAGGAUGAUCAGCCACACUGGAACUGAGACACGGUCCAGACUCCUACGGGAGGCAGCAGUGGGGAAUAUUGGACAAUGGGCGCAAGCCUGAUCCAGCCAUGCCGCGUGUGUGAAGAAGGCCUUCGGGUUGUAAAGCACUUUCAGCGAGGAGGAAGGGGUUGUAGUUAAUAGCUGCAACCUUUGACGUACUCGCAGAAGAAGCA